UACGUAGGGUGCAAGCGUUGUCCGGAAUUAUUGGGCGUAAAGAGCUCGUAGGCGGUUUGUCGCGUCUGCUGUGAAAACCCGAGGCUCAACCUCGGGCCUGCAGUGGGUACGGGCAGACUAGAGUGCGGUAGGGGAGAUUGGAAUUCCUGGUGUAGCGGUGGAAUGCGCAGAUAUCAGGAGGAACACCGAUGGCGAAGGCAGAUCUCUGGGCCGUAACUGACGCUGAGGAGCGAAAGCAUGGGGAGCAAACGGG
rnacentral:rRNA from 1 species